rnacentral:rRNA from 1 species
UACGUAGGGACCAAGCGUUGUUCGGAUUUACUGGGCGUAAAGGGCGCGUAGGCGGCAUGACAAGUCACUUGUGAAAUCUCUGGGCUUAACCUGGGAACUGCGUUUGAAACUGGAAGGCUAGAGUGUGGCAGAGGGGGGUGGAAUUCCACGUGUAGCAGUGAAAUGCGUAGAGAUGUGGAGGAACACCGAUGGCGAAGGCAGCCCCCUGGGCUAACACUGACGCUCAUGCACGAAAGCGUGGGGAGCAAACAGG